GACUCAGAGUCUUGAGAAAAGGUGCUGGAAAACUUGGUGUUGGCUCUGAAUUGCCAUUCAAGCAUACAGCUCAAGGAAAGGAUGGAAAAGGAGCCAAAAGCUUCGUGUGAGUCAAGAGGUGCAGAAGUGCUGCCAAGCAUUGGUUCCCACCAUGGCAGGAACGACUCCUGGGGUGGUGAAUUCCAAAGAAAUGGCUCUGUGGUGGCUGGCACCGACUGCAGCAGGAAAGUCAUGCAGAGACAGGAACAAGGCAGCAGUGCCCUGCUUGGCACACCUGCUUCAGCAGCUGAGGCUGGACAAUUCCCUUCAGCAAAGUCCACUUAGACUGGAGAAACAAG